UACGUAGGGGGCGAGCGUUGUCCGGAAUCAUUGGGCGGAAAGCGCGUGUAGGCGGCCCGGUAAGUCCGCUGUGAAAGUCCAGGGCUCAACCCUGGGAUGCCGGUGGAUACUGUCGGGCUCGAGUCCGGAAGAGGCGAGUGGAAUUCCUGGUGUAGCGGUGAAAUGCGCAGAUAUCAGGAGGAACACCAAUGGCGAAGGCAGCGCGCUGGGACGUGACUGACGCUGAGACGCGAAAGCGUGGGGAGCAAACAGG
rnacentral:rRNA from 1 species